AAAAGGAGCAAGCUACAAUACUCAGGCACUGCCUUGGAUAGAAAAGCUUCACUCACAAUGAGAAAAAGUUACUGAAAUCUCAGAGUAUAGCAGUGUAUUUCUCAUGCUUUGGUUCAGAUUCAUAUCUAAAGGAGACUAACCCUUUACCAAGCACCCCCAAGUGCAGGACCAUGUCUGGAGGGGGAACCAGGUCUCCCCGUCCCUGAAGCUCUCAGCGAGUCCUGGAGCGACCGCUGCAGGGAGAGCCAUUUCUGGAAGUCAUCGGUCAACUUCCUAUCAAACAGCUUUACACAUUUGCAGGAAUAAAAAGUCAGUCUAAACUAACAUCACCCCAUGGCAGCCCCCAGCAACUGCUCUCCAGAUGGAUGCUGCUCUUUGCUGUGUGGCCCAAGGAGCCUUCCCAUCCCCUCCCCAGCAGCAGAUUGCUUUCUGGACAGAGUCUGUCAGGAGAUGGCACAAACCAAAAGGGAGACAACAGUGCUUUUUCAUGGAGUAAUUCAUUCCUUUAUGUACCCAGAAGGAACCGCUCUAUGAAUGCCAUCCAGGCUCAGCCCUGGAGGUGCUGCUGCAUGACACCCUGGGUAGCUGAACAAGAAGAGUACACCAUGAAUAAUUAGCCAGCUAAAGCAAAUCUGUUGUGUGACUAACACCCAGGGACUCGAGGAGAACAUAACAGCUGUGUUUCA